rnacentral:rRNA from 1 species
UACGGAGGGUGCGAGCGUUAAUCGGAAUUACUGGGCGUAAAGCGUGCGUAGGCGGUUUGAUAAGUCGGGUGUGAAAGCCCCGGGCUUAACCUGGGAAUUGCAUUCGAUACUGUCUGACUCGAGUCUGGGAGAGGGAAGCGGAAUUCCCGGUGUAGUGGUGAAAUGCGUAGAGAUCGGGAGGAACACCAGUGGCGAAGGCGGCCGGCUGGGGGUGACCUGACGCUGAGGCGCGAAAGCGUGGGGAGCGAACCGG